rnacentral:rRNA from 1 species
CCUACGGACGGCUGCAGUGGGGAAUAUUGCACAAUGGAGGGAACUCUGAUGCAGCGACGCCGCGUGAGUGAAGAAGUAAUUCGUUAUGUAAAGCUCUAUCAGCAGGGAAGAAAGUGACGGUACCUGAAAAAGAAGCUCCGGCUAAAUACGUGCCAGCAGCCCCGGUAAUAAGUAUGGAGCAAGCGUUAUCCGGAUUUACUGGGGGUAAAGGGGGAGUAGGUGGCAGAGCAAGUCCGAAGUGAAAACCCAAAGCUAAACUAUGGGAAUGCUUUAGAAACUGCUCAGCUAGAGUGCAGGAGAGGCAAGUGGAAUUCUUAGUGUAGCGGUGAAAUGCGUAGAUAUUAGGAGGAACACCAGUGGCGAAGGCGGCUUGCUGGACUGUAACUGACACUGAGGCUCGAAAGCGUGGGGAGCAAACAGGAUUAGAUACCCCUGUAGUC